rnacentral:rRNA from 1 species
GAUGAACGCUGGCGGCGUGCCUAAUACAUGCAAGUCGAGCGAACGGACGAGAAGCUUGCUUCUCCGAUGUUAGCGGCGGACGGGUGAGUAACACGUGGAUAACCUACCUAUAAGACUGGGAUAACUUCGGGAAACCGGAGCUAAUACCGGAUAAUAUUUUGAACCGCAUGGUUCAAAAGUGAAAGACGGUCUUGCUGUCACUUAUAGAUGGAUCCGCGCUGCAUUAGCUAGUUGGUAAGGUAACGGCUUACCAAGGCAACGAUGCAUAGCCGACCUGAGAGGGUGAUCGGCCACACUGGAACUGAGACACGGUCCAGACUCCUACGGGAGGCAGCAGUAGGGAAUCUUCCGCAAUGGGCGAAAGCCUGACGGAGCAACGCCGCGUGAGUGAUGAAGGUCUUCGGAUCGUAAAACUCUGUUAUUAGGGAAGAACAUAUGUGUAAGUAACUGUGCACAUCUUGACGGUACCUAAUCAGAAAGCCACGGCUAACUACGU